UAAGAAAUGUGAGGGAAAUGCAGUGGUUUUUCUAGUGCUUUAUUGAUUAGUCCAUAUUUUUGCAUAUUUAAGUGCCUAUUUUUUUGUUUAUUUUCGUAGUAUUAAUCGCUUAUUUAUUUUAUUUCAGGAAAUUGUUGAUAAAUAAAGAAAGAAGAAAAAGUGCAAGAAAAUGGAAGAAAAAGAAAAGAAAAGAAGAAAAUCAAAAAGAGUUGGCAAGCAAGGGGACACAUGGAAGGCUAUGAUCUACCCAACACACAUCCCACAUGGAUGGAUUAGAUUUAGCCACCCUACCCCUAAACCCUACAUUUUUAGCUAUAAAUACCCCCACCCCUUUACUUGUAAGGACAAUCUUUUUAACCUAGUCUUUUCCUAGUUGGUAGGUAGUAUAGUGCUAGAUCUUCUUUUGUUCUCUCAUUUUCAUACUACAU
rnacentral:lncRNA from 1 species